rnacentral:rRNA from 1 species
AAUCCUAGCUCAGGAUGAACGCUGGCGGCGUGCUUAACACAUGCAAGUCGAGCGAAGCAGUUAAGUUGAUUUCUUCGGAUUGAUUCUUAACUGACUGAGCGGCGGACGGGUGAAGGUAACGCGUGGGUGACCUGCCCCAUACCGGGGGGAUAACAGCUGGAAACGGCUGCUAAUACCGCAUAAGCGCACAGAGCUGCAUGGCUCGGUGUGAAAAACUCCGGUGGUAUGGGAUGGGCCCGCGU